CAAGUCGAACGCGAAAGUUCCCUUCGGGGAGCGAGUAGAGUGGCGCACGGGUGAGUAACACGUAGGUAAUCUACCUUUGGAUUGGGAAUAACAACCGGAAACGGUUGCUAAUACCGAAUAAUGCAGCGGCACCUAAUGGUGACAGUUGUUAAAGCGGGGGAUCGCAAGACCUCGCGUCUAAAGAGGAGCCUGCGGCGGAUUAGCUAGUUGGUAAGGUAAUGGCUUACCAAGGCUAUGAUCCGUAGCCGGCCUGAGAGGGCGGUCGGCCACACUGACACUGACAUACGGGUCAGACUCCUACGGGAGGCAGCAGUCGGGAAUUUUGGGCAAUGGGCGAAAGCCUGACCCAGCAACGCCGCGUGAAGGAUGAAAUCCCUCGGGAUGUAAACUUCGCAAGAACGGGAAGAAUAAGUAAGAGCUAACAUCUCUUAUGAUGACGGUACUGUUUGUAAGCUCCGGCUAACUCCGUGCCAGCAGCCGCGGUAAUACGGGGGGAGCAAGCGUUGUUCGGAUUUACUGGGCGUAAAGGGCGCGUAGGCGGCCACCGCAAGUCGAUUGUGAAAUCUCCGGGCUUAACCCGGAAAGGUCAACCGAUACUGCGGGGCUAGAGUGCAGAAGGGGCAACUGGAAUUCUCGGUGUAGCGGUGAAAUGCGUAGAUAUCGAGAGGAACACCUGCGGCGAAGGCGGGUUGCUGGGCUGACACUGACGCUGAAGUGCGAAAGCUAGGGGAGCGAACGGGAUUAGAUACCCCGGUAGUCCUAGCCUUAAACGAUGAAUGCUUGGUGUCUGGGGUUUUAUAGUCCCCGGGUGCCGUCGCUAACGCUUUAAGCAUUCCGCCUGGGGAGUACGGUCGCAAGACUGAAACUCAAAGGAAUUGAC
rnacentral:rRNA from 1 species